ensembl:lncRNA
GUUUUGUAUUAAUAUUACUGCUGCACUACUGUGUAUGUUGCAUUUUACUUCUGAAUAUGUUCAAGGUUGUCACAGCUGCCACUGAACAUUGAGCUGAACAAAAGUGCUCCAUUUAUUUUUAUUUACUCCGUUUUAUCUUUAUGGUUACUUAACUGCCUAAAAUCAGGGUUGCACACCUUUCUAAAUAAGUUCACCAUGGUCAAGACGAUAAACUAUUUUAAAAGCGCACAUUAGUAAGAUAUCAGUCAGCAUUUGAACCGCUAUUGUGGAUGUGUGUGUGCGUGUGUGUGUUUGUUUUCAUAUGUAUCAUUACAUUAUUCAAGUCAGUUCAAAGCCAAUACAUGCAUUUAAAGUUGUAAUUCGGCAAGGACACAGCAAACAGUGGAACUUACCUGGCCUCGGUCUCAGCUAAGCCUGAGGUACAUCACCCGGCGCCGCCGAGGGUGAAACAUUCCCACCAUCUCCUCCAUUAAAACAUAAAAUAUAAAAACAAAUAUUAAUAAUGCUGGCUCCAUAACUUUUGUCAGCUCUCCUCUCACUGUUGCUAUGCGACAGAGCGCUAAUCGGAAACACCUGGUGACGGAAUUAGGAAAUCCUGUGAAGGUGGAGCAUCUCACGCACUUCGGAGGGCCCUUCGUGCACUUCGGAGGUCUGGUCUUCGAAGUCCGUGGUCUUCGAAGUGUGCACACUCAACUUUGGGACACAGCUACAGAGAGAGAAAGCCCUAUAAAAGGGAGGCUUGUUGUUAUUUCAGAUUCUCAAACUGGCUAUGAAACAAUCUGUUUGUGAAGAGACAAAUGCUGAAACCCAUCAUAACAUUCGGGGAUUUUGGGCCAUACUGACAUGUGAGUCAAAAUAUAUAAUUGGCCAAUUUUACAAGAAUCAGAAAUAAUGUGACACUGAGUGAUAUUAGUUACACUAUGGUUCACUGGCAAUUGCAGUAAUAUGCACUUUUCUCAAAUAAUCCUUCUUACCUUUUCUGUAUUGUCUUUUCUCAAACUUGCUGUUAAAUAAUUUCUUACUUGUUUGUAUCUUAAAUGGCCACUCAUACCAUGCUUGAUUGCCAAAUUUUUAAUUGUGGUGAAUUUUUAUCUGACAAAUAGGUGUCAUCUGGCUUUUACCAGAACAUUCCAUGUUCACAGCUAUUCACACUCUUUCUCAAAAAAAAAAAACUGUGUAAAAGUCUUCAUUUUUCAUCACAGCAGUUAUUUUGCACAUUUCCACUGGGAUUUUGGACCAUUCCUCUGCAAAGAUCUCCAGGUCCUUGAUGUUGGAAGGCUUCCUUUCCAUCAGAGUCGGCGUCAGAGCAGAUCUACUGGAGGGGCAUUGG